AAACCAACCGGGAUUGCCUUAGUAACGGCGAGUGAAGCGGCAAAAGCUCAAAUUUGAAAUGUGGUACCUUCGGUGCCCGAGUUGUAAUUUGGAGAGGGCAACUUUGGGGCCGUUCCUCGUCUAUGUUCCUUGGAACAGGACGUCAUAGAGGGUGAGAAUCCCGUGGGCGA
rnacentral:rRNA from 1 species